rnacentral:rRNA from 1 species
AGACCCGAAACCCGGUGAUCUAGCCAUGGGCAGGUUGAAGGUUGGGUAACACUAACUGGAGGACCGAACCGACUAAUGUUGAAAAAUUAGCGGAUGACCUGUGGCUGGGGGUGAAAGGCCAAUCAAACCGGGAGAUAGCUGGUUCUCCCCGAAAGCUAUUUAGGUAGCGCCUCGUGAAUUCAUCUCCGGGGGUAGAGCACUGUUUCGGCUAGGGGGCCAUCCCGGCUUACCAACCCGAUGCAAACUGCGAAUACCGGAGAAUGUUAUCACGGGAGACACACGGCGGGUGCUAACGUCCGUCGUGAAGAGGGAAACAACCCAGACCGCCAGCUAAGGUCCCAAAGUCAUGGUUAAGUGGGAAACGAUGUGGGAAGGCCCAGACAGCCAGGAUGUUGGCUUAGAAGCAGCCAUCAUUUAAAGAAAGCGUAAUAGCUCACUGGUCGAGUCGGCCUGCGCGGAAGAUGUAACGGGGCUAAACCAUGCACCGAAGCUGCGGCAGCGAACGUAUCACCCAAGACAACUUUACGGAGUUGACGAUUGACGGAGCGAAGCGACGUCAAAGCGUUCAUUAAAGUCGAGUUGGCUUAGGGAUACGUUCGUUGGGUAGGGGAGCGUUCUGUAAGCCUGUGAAGGUGUGUCGUGAGGCAUGCUGGAGGUAUCAGAAGUGCGAAUGCUGACAUAAGUAACGAUAAAGCGGGUGAAAAGCCCGCUCGCCGGAAGACCAAGGGUUCCUGUCCAACGUUAAUCGGGGCAGGGUGAGUCGACCCCUAAGGCGAGGCCGAAAGGCGUAGUCGAUGGGAAACGGGUUAAUAUUCCCGUACUUGGUGUUACUGCGAAGGGGGGACGGAGAAGGCUAUGUUGGCCGGGCGACGGUUGUCCCGGUUUAAGCGUGUAGGUGUGUGUUCCAGGUAAAUCCGGUUCACUUUAACACUGAGGCGUGACGACGAGGCACUACGGUGCUGAAGCAACAAAUGCCCUGCUUCCAGGAAAAGCCUCUAAGCAUCAGGUAA